GGCAGGGUGACUUCCGGUUUAUUUCCGGGUUAUAACGAAGUUUAAUAACAGCGAUAAUAUGGACUAAUUAUCGUACCAGAUAUGAUUCAAAUAAGCUGAUGGUAUCUACUGAGAUCAUUACUUUGAAUGAAGAACAUCAAUACAAUCAGUUGGGCUGCUAGAUUGGUAGCAACAUGAUGUAAGCUAAUGCCUGUUGAAACACUAUUGUUGGUUGGGCAUCUAUUGCUUACUGGACCGCUAUAUUGAAUGGACCAUACGUGUUGGUUGAACAACUAUAAAUGGUUGGACCGGUAGUGUUGGUUGGACCACCAGUGUUGUUUGAACUGCUUGUUGGACAGAAUGUGUGAUGGACAAUUAGUAUUAUUUGAAUCACUGUUGGAUAGACAGCUUCUGUUUUAUCAGACAGCUAUAAUCAGUUGAUUUACAAGUUCCUGGCGGAUAAAUAUUCGCUGUAUAGAAGGAAACAAAAAAGUUCUUUUGCUAACUGUAACAAUGACAUGGUUGGUGAAUUGGUAUCAGACAAUUUGCAGCCAAGACAACACAGUGGAGUGAUAGCCGAUUCCUUAAACUCUAAAUGGCAAAUAAAUUUACCGACAAUAGUUGAUUUUUUUAUGUCACUUGUCUAUUAUAACUUGCAUUUACAAUCAUAAAGAGUGGUCAAUGAAAAUAUGAAGUGAACUUGUCAGAUAAAACAAAAACAAAUGUGCGCACACUUACAUAUUGACUUGACAUUAAAAUAAAAAUUCAUAGAGGAUACAUCAUAGCUUUUGCUUUUCUGUGUGUUUUUUUCCCGACCAAAAAAUAAAAUUGUUAUUUUA